rnacentral:rRNA from 1 species
AACAGGAUUAGAUACCCUGGUAGUCCACGCCGUAAACGUUGGGCACUAGGUGUGGGACCCUAUCGACGGGUUCCGUGCCGUAGCUAACGCAUUAAGUGCCCCGCCUGGGGAGUACGGCCGCAAGGCUAAAACUCAAAGGAAUUGACGGGGGCCCGCACAAGCAGCGGAGCAUGUGGCUUAAUUCGACGCAACGCGAAGAACCUUACCAAGGCUUGACAUGCAGGGAAAUCUCACAGAGAUGUGAGGUCCGCAAGGGUCCUGCACAGGUGGUGCAUGGUUGUCGUCAGCUCGUGUCGUGAGAUGUUGGGUUAAGUCCCGCAACGAGCGCAACCCUCGUUCUAUGUUGCCAGCGCGUUAUGGCGGGGACUCAUAGGAGACUGCCGGGGUCAACUCGGAGGAAGGUGAGGACGACGUCAAAUCAUCAUGCCCCUUAUGUCUUGGGCUGCACACAUGCUACAAUGGCCGAUACAAAGGGCUGCUAAGCCGCGAGGUGGAGCGAAUCCCAAAAAGUCGGUCUCAGUUCGGAUUGGGGUCUGCAACUCGACCCCAUGAAGUCGGAGUUGCUAGUAAUCGCAGAUCAGCAACGCUGCGGUGAAUACGUUCCCGGGCCUUGUACACACCGCCCGUCACGUCACGAAAGUCGGUAACACCCGAAGCCAGUGGCCCAACUCGCAAGAGAGGGAGCUGUCGAAGGUGGGAUCGGCGAUUGGGACGAAGUCGUAACAAGGUAACC